GUUGGAUCACCGGUUCCCGUAUGAUCACCAAAGUUAAGCAACGUCGGGUCCGCUCAGUACCGAGAUGGUUGGCCACUUGGGAAUACCAGGUAC